rnacentral:rRNA from 1 species
UACAGAGGUCUCAAGCGUUGUUCGGAUUCAUUGGGCGUAAAGGGUGUGUAGGUGGCGCGCUAAGUCGGGUGUGAAAUUUCGGAGCUUAACUUCGAAACUGCAUUCGAUACUGGCGUGCUUGAGGACUGGAGAGGAGACUGGAAUUUACGGUGUAGCAGUGAAAUGCGUAGAUAUCGUAAGGAAGACCAGUGGCGAAGGCGGGUCUCUGGACAGUUCCUGACACUGAGGCACGAAGGCCAGGGGAGCAAACGGG